GGACCCGCACAAGCGGUGGAUGAUGUGGAUUAAUUCGAUGCAACGCGAAAAACCUUACCUACCCUUGACAUGCCAGGAACUUGCCAGAGAUGGCUUGGUGCCCGAAAGGGAGCCUGGACACAGGUGCUGCAUGGCUGUCGUCAGCUCGUGUCGUGAGAUGUUGGGUUAAGUCCCGCAACGAGCGCAACCCUUGCCAAUAGUUGCCAUCAUUUAGUUGGGCACUCUAUUGGGACUGCCGGUGACAAACCGGAGGAAGGUGGGGAUGACGUCAAGUCCUCAUGGCCCUUAUGGGUAGGGCUUCACACGUCAUACAAUGGUCGGUACAGAGGGUUGCCAAGCCGCGAGGUGGAGCCAAUCCCAGAAAGCCGAUCGUAGUCCGGAUCGUAGUCUGCAACUCGACUACGUGAAGUCGGAAUCGCUAGUAAUCGCGGAUCAGCAUGUCGCGGUGAAUACGUUCCCGGGUCUU
rnacentral:rRNA from 1 species